UACAGAGGGGGCAAGCGUUAUUCGGAAUUAUUGGGCGUAAAGGGCGCGUAGGCGGCUUUGCAAGUGACGGGUGAAAUCCCUCGGCUUAACCGAGGAACUGCCUGUCAAACUGCAUGGCUUGAGACCGGGAGAGGUGAGUGGAAUUCCCAGUGAGCGGUGAAAUGCGUAGAUAUUGGGAGGAACACCAGUGGCGAAGGCGGCUCACUGGACCGGUACUGACGCUGAUGAGCGAAAGCGUGGGGA
rnacentral:rRNA from 1 species